rnacentral:misc_RNA from 1 species
AAGGAUCAUUAAAAUGGACCCGGCCCGAAAGGACCGACCCUGAAACUACCGAGACUCUCCCCGGCUUGCCGGUGGGGACGUCGACGUGUUAACCAAUUGUUGAAACUUCUAAUUUUUGCUUCGGCAGCUCCUUCCUUCGGGAGGGGUAAGGCUGCCAGAAGCCCAUUAUAAAACCAGUUGAUGAAAUGUCAUGCUGUCUGAUACUUCCUUAGUAUUUGAGAAAUCAAAUCACUGUUAAAACUUUCAGCAACGGAUCUCUUGGUUCUC